rnacentral:rRNA from 1 species
GCUGGCGGCGUGCCUAACACAUGCAAGUCGAACGAGAAAGUGGAGCAAUCCAUGAGUAAAGUGGCGCACGGGUGAGUAACACGUGACUAACCUACCCUUGAGUGGGGGAUAACUGAGGGAAACCUUAGCUAAUACCGCAUAAUACCUACGGGUCAAAGGAGCAAUUCGCUUAAGGAGGGGGUCGCGGCCGAUUAGUUAGUUGGCAGGGUAAUGGCCUACCAAGACGAUGAUCGGUAUCCGGCCUGAGAGGGCGCACGGACACACUGGAACUGAAACACGGUCCAGACUCCUACGGGAGGCAGCAGUGGGGAAUUUUGCGCAAUGGGGGAAACCCUGACGCAGCAACGCCGCGUGGAGGAUGAAGUCCUUCGGGACGUAAACUCCUUUCGAUCGGGACGAUUAUGACGGUACCGGAAGAAGAAGCCCCGGCUAACUUCGUGCCAGCAGCCGCGGUAAUACGAGGGGGGCGAGCGUUGUUCGGAAUUAUUGGGCGUAAAGGGUGCGUAGGCGGUUUGGUAAGUCUGAUGUGAAAUCUAUGGGCUCAACUCAUAGUCUGCAUCGGAAACUGCCGGGCUUGAGUAUGGGAGAGGUGAGUGGAAUUCCUGGUGUAGCGGUGAAAUGCGUAGAUAUCAGGAGGAACACCUGUGGC